rnacentral:rRNA from 1 species
UACGAAGGGGGCUAGCGUUGCUCGGAAUCACUGGGCGUAAAGGGUGCGUAGGCGGGUCUUUAAGUCAGGGGGGAAAUCCUGGAGCUCAACUCCAGAACUGCCUUUGAUACUGAAGAUCUUGAGUUCGGGAGAGGUGAGUGGAACUGCGAGUGUAGAGGUGAAAUUCGUAGAUAUUCGGAAGAACACCAGUGGCGAAGGCGACUCACUGGACAUGUAUUGACGCUGAGGUACGAAAGCGUGGGGAGCAAACAGG